AACGAACGCUGGCGGCAUGCCUAACACAUGCAAGUCGAACGAGACCUUCGGGUCUAGUGGCGCACGGGUGCGUAACGCGUGGGAACCUGCCCUUAGGUUCGGAAUAACUCCCCGAAAGGGGUGCUAAUACCGGAUAAUGUCUUCGGACCAAAGAUUUAUCGCCUUUGGAUGGGCCCGCGUUGGAUUAGCUAGUUGGUAGGGUAAAAGCCUACCAAGACGACGAUCCAUAGCUGGUCUGAGAGGAUGAUCAGCCACACUGGGACUGAGACACGGCCCAGACUCCUACGGGAAGCAGCAGUGGGGAAUAUUGGACAAUGGGCGAAAGCCUGAUCCAGCAAUGCCGCGUGAGUGAUGAAGGCCUUAGGGUUGUAAAGCUCUUUUACCCGGGAUGAUAAUGACAGUACCGGGAGAAUAAGCUCCGGCUAACUCCGUG
rnacentral:rRNA from 1 species